rnacentral:rRNA from 1 species
CGUAGGUAACCUGCCUGGUAGCGGGGGAUAACUAUUGGAAACGAUAGCUAAUACCGCAUAAGAGUAGAUGUUGCAUGACAUUUGCUUAAAAGGUGCAAUUGCAUCACUACCAGAUGGACCUGCGUUGUAUUAGCUAGUUGGUGGGGUAACGGCUCACCAAGGCGACGAUACAUGGCCGACCUGAGAGGGUGAUCGGCCACACUGGGACUGAGACACGGCCCAG